CAGCCGCCACGGUAAUACGUAGGUGGCAAGCGUUGUCCGGAUUUACUGGGCGUAAAGCGAACGCAGGCGGACUGUUAAGUAGGAAGUGAAAGGUCGGAGCUCAACUCCAACAUUGCUUCCUAUACUGGCAGUCUUGAGUAGCGGAGAGGAAGGGGGAACGACACGUGUAGCGGUGAAAUGCGUUGAUAUGUGUCGGAACACCCAUGGCGAAAGCACCCUUCUGGACGCAAACUGACGCUCAGGUUCGAAAGCCAAGGUAGCGAACAGGAUUAGAUACCCCCGUAGUCCCUGUCUCUUAUAA
rnacentral:rRNA from 1 species